GGAGAGGUGGCUGAGUGGUCGAAAGCGACGGUUUGCUAAAUCGUUGUAGGAGUCAAAUCCUACCGCGGGUUCGAAUCCCGCCCUCUCCGCCA
rnacentral:tRNA from 2 species